AUGUAGUUUACAAUAAAACAUUACAUUUUCAUUGUAAAAAUAAAUUAGAUUUCAUAAAUAAUAU
rnacentral:tRNA from 1 species